UACAGAGGUCUCAAGCGUUGUUCGGAUUCAUUGGGCGUAAAGGGUGCGUAGGCGGCGCGGUAAGUCGGGUGUGAAAUCUCGGAGCUUAACUCCGAAACUGCAUUCGAUACUGCCGUGCUUGAGGACUGGAGAGGAGACUGGAAUUUACGGUGUAGCGGUGAAAUGCGUAGAUAUCGUAAGGAACACCGGUGGCGAAGGCGGUUCUCUGGGCAUGUCCUGACGCUGAGGAGCGAAAGUGUGGGGAGCGAACAGG
rnacentral:rRNA from 1 species